rnacentral:snRNA from 1 species
ACUCUACGGACACAAUCAUUCC